AUUAUACCGAUCCUAGCUGCAAGCCCCAGUGCGUGUGGGAAGCCUAUGCACCUAUCUGCAGUCCAUCCAGGAAGCUGCUCUGUAGCUGGCAUGGAUGUCCAGAAGUACUUCCACCUAGUCUCAGCAUUAACCUCUUCAGUGCUGGGUGUACAAACCAAGAGGAAUCUCAACUGCCUGCCUCGUUGGUAGGUCUUGAGCAAUGACCCUCAGCACCUCCGGAAAGGGCCACGUGGCUCCUCAUCAAUAAGCCAUCGUGAAGGGAAAAUCUAUCAGGCAGCUGCCUUUUAAUUAGAGGAUAGCUAAGUGCUACCUUAUGAUCCAUGAGGUGAUGCAUAUUUAAUAACACCAGCUCCCAUCUGCUGUUGCCUAGUGCUGUGUUUUAGGAAGUGCAGACUGGAAAGCCCUCUUUGAUGUUUCUUCACGCUGGCUGCUCUUUGAAACAGGGAAAGCACAGUGACUCGCUGGCCACGGGUGCUUUAGCCAUUCCAAGAACAGGGGAAGGCCAUUUUGUGAAGGAGGAGCCCUCACCUGGUUGUGCAAUGCAUUGGUCUGUCUGCUUUGGGUUGUAAACCCAGAAGUAUCGGCAGACAUGCUCAUGUUCCAGCCCUUGGUAACAAUGCUGGAGGUAUUUUUCUCACAGUAUUUACUACUUGCUCUUCUGCCCUGUGUUAUCCAUGCAGCUCACUACGUAUUUCCAUAUCUAUCUUCUCCAUUUCCCGACCCUCCCUGAGGCAUUUUGCGAUUUUAAAUUACAGUGCUUUGGCACUUCCUCCCUUUCCAACUCAGCGCAUUGAGGUGUCACUGAAUUGCUCUCGGUAUCUUUAUUUUUCCUCCUGGGAUGUCAAGAAAGGGCUCUGCAACGUUGGGGUAAAAUCCCAGUGUGAGCAGCUGUCCAUAGAGAAGCAAACCUUCCCAGCUGAAUACGAAACCACGCUUUAGAGCAAGCAGGGAUUGAAGGAGGAAGCGGCUCUCAGCAAGAGCAAACCUGACUGCUUUGGUUUUCAUUGUCUGACAUGAGGAAAGUGCAAAAAAUAAAAAAGAUGGAAAGGAGGAGGCAUCAGACUCAGCAUUUCUGCAGUGUGGUGUUAUUUGGUGUUAGUAACGUGGGCAAAGCAAAAAGCUCCACAUCCCAGUGGUGCCACACCAGUGUCCUGCUCCAGCACAGACAGGUGGACCUGGAGCUGCUCGAAGUGGGACAGCGGGAUCAUUCCAGAUGACACAAACACAGCUGGCACGGACACUUGCUCUAGGAGCCUCUUUCAUCUUGCAGGGGUGGGGAGCAGGCCCUACAAUGAGCUGACACGACCCGGAGCAGCACUCCAGAUGUGUUGGUGGCGCUGGGGAGCACCUGUGGCUACCUAUCCCACUGCAGCUGCACUGCUGGGGUCAGCCCUGUCCUCUGCUGCCACAGCCCUUGAAACGAGGAGAGCAGCACCUGCAAGUCAGUGAUCACUCAUAGAGAGGUGUGCCCGGGUGUUCUGUUUGCUGCUGGGAUGUUCCCCAGGCAAGGAAUUGCUCCAUCAUCUCCAGGCUGUUGCUCCCUGUUGGCCAAGUGGACUCCGCAGCCCAGAACUAUGCUCACACCAUCCCUCUGGACAUCCCUACCCCCAGGAGCCCAGGGGUACCAGCAACUCAGAAGAACCAGAUGCCUAAUUGCUCUGGAUCUAUCCAUUUGGAAGGACAGGCACAAGCAGCUCUGUAGCUAGCCAAGGAAGGAUGCCUGCAGGCUUCAUUUGCAGGAACAGAAACAGAUUUCGGAUGGGAUGGAGACAGCCAAGAGGCUGACCGCGGAAUUCGCUAAAUAAAAUAUUUUCACC
ensembl:lncRNA